rnacentral:tRNA from 1 species
UUAAUUAAAACCAAAAUUAGAGGUAAAUUAUUGUUAAUAAUUUUAUUGAAUUUUUAUAUUCUAAUUAAU